UACGUAGGGUCCGAGCGUUGUCCGGAAUUAUUGGGCGUAAAGGGCUCGUAGGCGGUUCGUCACGUCGGGAGUGAAAACUCGGAGCUUAACCCCGAGCCUGCUUCCGAUACGGGCAGACUAGAGGUAGGCAGGGGAGAGCGGAACUCCUGGUGUAGCGGUGGAAUGCGCAGAUAUCAGGAAGAACACCGGUGGCGAAGGCGGCUCUCUGGGCCUUACCUGACGCUGAGGAGCGAAGGCGUGGGGAGCGAACAGG
rnacentral:rRNA from 1 species